AUAUCAAUAAGCGGAGGAAAAGAAACUAACAAGGAUUCCCCUAGUAACGGCGAGCGAAGCGGGAAGAGCUCAAAUUUGAAAGCUGGCGCCUUCGGCGUCCGCGUUGUAAUUUGUAGAGGAUGCUUCUGGGCAGCGGCCGGUCUAAGUUCCUUGGAACAGGACGUCAUAGAGGGUGAGAAUCCCGUAUGCGACCGGCUUGCACCCGUCACGUAGCUCCUUCGACGAGUCGAGUUGUUUGGGAAUGCAGCUCUAAAUGGGAGGUAAAUUUCUUCUAAGGCUAAAUACCGGCCAGAGACCGAUAGCGAACAAGUACCGUGAG
rnacentral:rRNA from 1 species